CUCUUGUGGCCGGCAUAAUAUUCUCCGUGAUUCUCCUCGCUGGCAUAGUUUUCCUGGCAAGACCAGUGAUGGCAAACUAUCAAGCACGUCAGGUUCAAAUGAAGAAGCAAAGGAACUCCAAUGGGGAAAAUGGCCACACUGAUCCAGAUUG